rnacentral:misc_RNA from 1 species
UAGCUGAAAGCAGCAAUAUUUUGGUAAUUUUGAUUGAAAAUUUUAGUUUUGAGCCACUGCAUAUGAGUUCUACUUUAGUUUGAGGUAUUUUGAUAGAUAAGAUUGUUUUAUCACAGAUUCACAGUAUAACUAUAAGUGUAAAACAUAUCCCUAUCAUGUAAACUACUUGAGUUUCGCUGCUAGAAUUGUUCUUUGUCAAUGUCCAUUCAAAGAAUAUUGAAGUUUUGUGGACUCAAUAGUUUUGAUAAUAUAUGAGAUCAUUCUCUCUUUCUCUCCUCAACUCUCCAGCAAGAGGAGAAAGAGGGGAAAAAAACUUAUGAGUUUAUGUCCGUGGGCUG